rnacentral:rRNA from 1 species
UACGGGGGGGGCAAGCGUUGUUCGGAAUUACUGGGCGUAAAGGGCUCGUAGGCGGCCAACUAAGUCGGACGUGAAAUCCCUCGGCUUAACCGGGGAACUGCGUCCGAUACUGGAUGGCUUGAGUUCGGGAGAGGGAUGCGGAAUUCCUGGUGUAGCGGUGAAAUGCGCAGAUAUCAGGAGGAACACCGGUGGCGAAGGCGGUUCUCUGGGCAUGUCCUGACGCUGAGGAGCGAAAGUGUGGGGAGCGAACAGG